rnacentral:rRNA from 1 species
GAUGAACGCUGGCGGCGUGCCUAAUACAUGCAAGUCGAGCGAACAGACGAGGAGCUUGCUCCUCUGACGUUAGCGGCGGACGGGUGAGUAACACGUGGAUAACCUACCUAUAAGACUGGGAUAACUUCGGGAAACCGGAGCUAAUACCGGAUAAUAUAUUGAACCGCAUGGUUCAAUAGUGAAAGACGGUUUUGCUGUCACUUAUAGAUGGAUCCGCGCUGCAUUAGCUAGUUGGUAAGGUAACGGCUUACCAAGGCGACGAUGCGUAGCCGACCUGAGAGGGUGAUCGGCCACACGGGAACUGAGACACGGUCCAGACUCCUACGGGAGGCAGCAGUAGGGAAUCUUCCGCAAUGGGCGAAAGCCUGACGGAGCAACGCCGCGUGAGUGAUGAAGGUCUUCGGAUCGUAAAACUCUGUUAUUAGGGAAGAACAAAUGUGUAAGUAACUAUGCACGUCUUGACGGUACCUAAUCAGAAAGCCACGGCUAACUACGUG